rnacentral:lncRNA from 1 species
UGGAGUUAAAUUCUUAUAGGAUUGUAAGUAUGUUUUAAUUUAUUACCUUGCACUUUCGCAUUUUGACUGAACAAUUUGUUCAAUAUUCUGACUAACAGUCAAGUCACUGUAGUACCAUUGUGUUUUUUCAAAAGCUCAUGAAAGGUUGUGUUUAUGAAGUUAAAUUUUCACCACAAUUGUGUUUAUUUUAAGUUACAUUCCAAGCAAUCAAGAGC